rnacentral:antisense_RNA from 1 species
AAUAUUUCAAUGGCGCCAAACCCUGAAUAAAAAAAAAAUAAUACCUUUUAUUAUCUGCAUGCAUACAUGCAUAAUUAUGUGGAAACACGUAAUAUAAUAAAAAUUAUUUGAAUUAAUAUAUUUGUGGAAGUUUUACUUUCGAGAAUUAUUCACUGUAGAGGAAGGGGGGUUUCUUUUUUUUUGGAAUUAAUAAGAGUUGAAUGAAUAAUACUCGUUAGAUAAACAAUGAGUAUGAACGCAUGAACCGUUUGGAUAUAGAGCACAGGGUUUAUUACCCAAUUUUAGUGAGCACACAUGGCAAAUCAUAUCUUGAGUAAUUGUGACAUGGUUAGAUCGAGUAUUUGACCAUUUUUCGUAUAAUCUUAGAAAGGAAAUUGCAGAUAAAUUUGUUGAAAUUGACUUACUUGUUUGAUUAUGUAUUGAUGAUACAAGACUAUUCUUUAAGAAAUUUAUCAUCUUUAAUAAAGGCCAUUCUUUUGGAAUAACUUGAAGAAUAUUUCCAAUGGAUAUAUCGGGAUGAAAUGAAUAUUUG